ACCGAAACAGUUCAGUUGGAAGAGCGGUAGACUAUAGAUCAAAAAGUCCCUGGUUCGAUCCCGGGUUCUGGCG
rnacentral:tRNA from 1 species